rnacentral:RNase_P_RNA from 1 species
UAGGGAAGAAAGGCGAUCGCUACGUUCAUGUAAACUGAACGUAGAGGAAAGUCCAGACAGCAGUAAGCAGGGUGCGGAGUGUAAGCUCCGACGCGUAAGCGCUAGUAUUUAAAGGCUUUACCUACAUGCGGCCUUUAAAGCUCCAAGGGGUUUAACCUUUGGGGAGAACAACAGAGACGAGUAGGUGUGAAACGGGUAAUCCUCCCUGCUGCAACCCAGAACAGAACCGUAGACCAUGCUUUCGGUAGGUUCUAAAUAGGGGCAUCCGCCAAAUAGGCGGACGAGGUGAUUUAAAGCGUCAUUUCGAGAUAGAUGAUCGCGUUAUAACAGAAUCUGGCUUAUUCUCUUCCCUAAAGU